CAGACCUUCCUCUUACUAUAGAUCUAGCACUGGUUGCCUGUACAAUUUUUGCGUCCUGAUGGAUUAAGACACUAAAUAGGCACCCAUCUCAACUCUGCUAGAGCAGAACAAACCCUCUUCUCUAACAACAACCCGAGUUGUUGUUAAUUAACGUCUUGAUGAAAACUAAGUCUUUG
rnacentral:lncRNA from 12 species